GACGAACGCUGGCGGCGUGCUUAACACAUGCAAGUCGAACGGAGUGGCGAACGGGUGAGUAACACGUGGGUGACCUGCCCUGUACCUCGGGAUAAGCCUGGGAAACUGGGUCUAAUACCGGAUAGUGGGGGAUGGGUCCGCGGCCUAUCAGCUUGUUGGUGGGGUAAGGGCCUACCAAGGCGGCGACGGGUAGCCGGCCUGGGAGGGUGGACGGGCACAUGGGGACUGAGACACGGCCCAGACGCCUACGGGAGGCAGCGGUGGGGAAUAUUGCACAAGGGGCGGAAGCCAGAUGCAGCGGCGCCGCGUGGGGGAUGACGGCCUGCGGGUUGUAAACUACUUUCACCAUAGACGCGGUAGAUGGAAAGGAAGCACCGGUUAACUACGUGCCAGCAGCCGCGGUAAUAC
rnacentral:rRNA from 1 species